rnacentral:misc_RNA from 1 species
CUGAGUAAUUGGGUCUUUAUGGCCCAUACUCCCACCCUUUUGUAUACCUUACCAUAUUUAAGUUGCCUUGGUAGGAAAAAAACCCUUUACUGGGCCCACCCUACCAUUGGAACUCUUUUAAACUCUUAUCAAUUGAGUCGUCUGAGAAAAUAAAUUCAAAUGAAUUA